CAGUAGCCGCGGUAAUACGGAGGGGGCUAGCGUUGUUCGGAAUUACUGGGCGUAAAGCGCACGUAGGCGGCUUUGUAAGUUAGAGGUGAAAGCCCGGAGCUCAACUCCGGAAUUGCCUUUAAGACUGCAGAGCUAGCAGGUGAGAGAGGUGAGUGGAAUUCCGAGUGUAGAGGUGAAAUUCGUAGAUAUUCGGAAGAACACCAGUGGCGAAGGCGGCUCACUGGCUCAUUCUAGACGCUGAGGUGCGAAAGCGUGGGGAGCAAACAGGAUUAGAGACCCCAGUAGUCCCUGUCUCUUAUAC
rnacentral:rRNA from 1 species